rnacentral:rRNA from 1 species
UCCGAAGGGGGCUAGCGUUGUUCGGAUUUACUGGGCGUAAAGCGCAUGUAGGCGGAUCAGUAAGUCAGGGGUGAAAUCCCGGGGCUCAACCUCGGAAUUGCCUUUGAUACUGCUGAUCUGGAGUCCGGGAGAGGUGAGUGGAAUUCCUAGUGUAGAGGUGAAAUUCGUAGAUAUUAGGAAGAACACCAGUGGCGAAGGCGGCUCACUGGCGCGGUACUGACGCUGAGGUGAGAAAGCGUGGGGAGCAAACAGG